CCAUGCAAGUCGAACGGUAGCAGGAAGUGCUUGCACUUUGCUGACGAGUGGCGGACGGGUGAGUAAUGCUUGGGAACUUGCCUUUGCGAGGGGGAUAACAGUUGGAAACGACUGCUAAUACCGCAUAAUGUCUACGGACCAAACGGGGCUUAGGCUUCGGCGCAGAGAGAGGCCCAAGUGAGAUUAGCUAGUUGGUGGGGUAAAGGCUCACCAAGGCGACGAUCUCUAGCUGUUCUGAGAGGAAGAUCAGCCACACUGGGACUGAGACACGGCCCAGACUCCUACGGGAGGCAGCAGUGGGGAAUAUUGCACAAUGGGGGAAACCCUGAUGCAGCCAUGCCGCGUGUGUGAAGAAGGCCUUCGGGUUGUAAAGCACUUUCAGUUGUGAGGAAAAGUGAGUAGUUAAUACCUGCUCACCGUGACGUUAACAACAGAAGAAGCACCGGCUAACUCCGUGCCAGCAGCCGCGGUAAUACGGAGGGUGCGAGCGUUAAUCGGAAUUACUGGGCGUAAAGCGCACGCAGGCGGUUUGUUAAGCUAGAUGUGAAAGCCCCGAGCUCAACUUGGGAUGGUCAUUUAGAACUGGCAGACUAGAGUCUUGGAGAGGGGAGUGGAAUUCCAGGUGUAGCGGUGAAAUGCGUAGAUAUCUGGAGGAACAUCAGUGGCGAAGGCGACUCCCUGGCCAAAGACUGACGCUCAUGUGCGAAAGUGUGGGUAGCGAACAGGAUUAGAUACCCUGGUAGUCCNCCGNAACCUGUCCACAACUGNUUGGACUUAANCCGGANACGAACUA
rnacentral:rRNA from 1 species